rnacentral:rRNA from 1 species
AGAGUUUGAUUCUGGCUCAGAACGAACGCUGGCGGCGUGGAUAAGACAUGCAAGUCGAACGAGAGAAUUGCUAGCUUGCUAAUAAUUCUCUAGUGGCGCACGGGUGAGUAACACGUGAGUAACCUGCCCCCAAGAGUGGGAUAGCCCCGGGAAACUGGGAUUAAUACCGCAUAAAAUCGCAAGAUUAAAGCAGCAAUGCGCUUGGGGAUGGGCUCGCGUCCUAUUAGUUAGUUGGUGAGGUAACGGCUCACCAAGGCGAUGACGGGUAGCCGGUCUGAGAGGAUGUCCGGCCACACUGGAACUGAGACACGGUCCAGACACCUACGGGUGGCAGCAGUCGAGAAUCAUUCACAAUGGGGGAAACCCUGAUGGUGCGACGCCGCGUGGGGGAAUGAAGGUCUUCGGAUUGUAAACCCCUGUCAUGUGGGAGCAAAUUAAAAAGAUAGUACCACAAGAGGAAGAGACGGCUAACUCUGUGCCAGCAGCCGCGGUAAUACAGAGGUCUCAAGCGUUGUUCGGAAUCACUGGGCGUAAAGCGUGCGUAGGCGGUUUCGUAAGUCGUGUGUGAAAGGCGGGGGCUCAACCCCCGGACUGCACAUGAUACUGCGAGACUAGAGUAAUGGAGGGGGAACCGGAAUUCUCGGUGUAGCAGUGAAAUGCGUAGAUAUCGAGAGGAACACUCGUGGCGAAGGCGGGUUCCUGGACAUUAACUGACGCUGAGGCACGAAGGCCAGGGGAGCGAAAGGGAUUAGAUACCCCUGUAGUCCUGGCAGUAAACGGUGCACGCUUGGUGUGCGGGGAAUCGACCCCCUGCGUGCCGGAGCUAACGCGUUAAGCGUGCCGCCUGGGGAGUACGGUCGCAAGAUUAAAACUCAAAGAAAUUGACGGGGACCCGCACAAGCGGUGGAGCAUGUGGUUUAAUUCGAUGCAACGCGAAGAACC